GCAAAUGGCGCAUGAGAGUAACAUCAACUCUGGAUCCUCUGCUUGGUGGAGAACGGAUUUCAUUCCGUAUAUCAGUUUGCAGAUAUACUUUGUGAAAGGCGUGUCAGGGAGACGUCCCCAGUUGGCCAGUGUCCCAUGUGAAGAAAUGUAUCCACUGAGAAACUAUGCACUGGGAGAUGCACUGGAACUUCAACUGAGCAUCUGGGACACCACAGACAUUGUCAUUGUAAGGACACCGUGCACCAAAAACUCUGUACACAAAUGCAUUAAUAAUGCCAGUCAGCU